rnacentral:rRNA from 1 species
CCUACGGGUGGCUGCAGUGGGGAAUAUUGCACAAUGGGGGAAACCCUGAUGCAGCGACGCCGCGUGAGUGAAGAAGUAUCUCGGUACGUAAAGCCCUAUCAGCAGGGAAGAAAAUGACGGUACCUGACUACGAAGCCCCGGCUAACUACGUGCCAGCAGCCGCGGUAAUACGUAGGGGGCAAGCGUUAUCCGGAGUUACUGGGUGUAAAGGGGGCGUAGACGGCGGUGCAAGCCAGAGGUGAAAGCCCGGGGCCCAACCCCGGGACUGCAGUUGGAACUGGGCUGCUAGAGUGGCGGAGAGGCAGGCGGAAUUCCUGGUGUAGCGGUGAAAUGCGUAGAUAUUAGGAGGAACACCAGUGGCGAAGGCGGCCUGCUGGACGAUGACUGACGUUGAGGCUCGAAAGCGUGGGGAGCAAACAGGAUUAGAUACCCUGGUAGUC